rnacentral:tRNA from 1 species
GAUAGAUAAAGCUGGCGAUGGGAACGGGGGCACUGGAAAGCGUGUAUAGGGGCAACUCUAUCAGGGGUUCAAAUCCCCUUCUCUCCGCCA